AGCAUUACUUCAAAAGUUUCCCUAUCUUUGUUUAGCUGAAGGUUGGUGCUCCAAAGCAGUAGAUCAACGAGAUAGUCAUGUAGCACUCGGUCGUAUAGAAGACUAGAAUAAAAGAGUCCGUUGGAAUCUUUUAUAUAACAAAAAUGCAGACAUAUACACUUUUGGUUUAAUCUUUGAAGUAUUAUAUGAGAUUGUAAUUUGAAUAUAAAAAUAAUGAGUGAUACCAUUCAUAUUUUUAAUGUUAAUUUAUAAUUUAUGAUA